UCACUUCGUACCAAGCGUCAGUGACUUCGCGUCCGCCGGUUCGUUCGGACCUAUUCGAAUAAGUAUCAGAGAGAGAGAGGGGGAGGAAAACCGGAAGUGAUAAUUGGAAGUACGAUAUUCAAGACCCAGUUCGCCAAAAAAAAGGAAGAAAUAAAAAAGAAGAAAA